AUGUAUGUAUAUGUAUAGCUGAUUCACUUUGUUAUACAGCAGAAAUUAACACACCAGUGUAAAGCAAUUAUACUCCAAUAAAUACGUUAAAAAAUAAAACAAAAUAAAAUAAAAACCAUAGAUUUAAAAGUAGUAAAAUCUGUUAAUAUGGAAAUGAAUAUGUUUCCGGAGUUACAAUGACUUCUAAAAAGAAAAGAAACUGUAGAAAAUGUGUGACUUGCUGAUAAGAAGGACAAAACCAUUCACUCAGAAGCCCAGCUUUUAACUGUACCUCAGUAACUCCUUAAAGGAAAUUAUCACUUGAUAAUUUACACAAUAGAUGUUGAAAGGUAUUCAAAUAGACUUUAAGGGACGAAGUUAUUACUAGAAAUAAAAUGUUCAAAAUGAUAAAAUGAUCAAAACAGAAAGAUAUACAAAUUGUAAAUAUUUAUAACUCGUUUCAAAUAUGUGAACCAAAACUUGACAGAAAUAAAGGAGAAAUACAUGAAGCUACUGAAGGGGCGAGGAGUAGAAAGGAAACCACAGGACUGAAUGAAGUACAAGGAGAUGGUGGAAGAAGCAAGAAGCACAGAAGGACCCGCACUGGGCCACCCAAAACCCAGGAAACUGCUCCAGUAAUGGAGACAGGAAAGCACAGGGGCCCAGACCACAUGCACGAGCCUGAGCACAGGUACACUCAUAGGGAAAUGGUAAGCGUGGAGGAGAAGGAGAGGCAGUAAAUGGUAUCUGCCCUCCUGAAGCCAACUACGAGAGGUAAAUUUUACACCACCACGUUAAAAAAAAAAAGGACAUGAAAAGAUCUUCAGCAUCCUAAUUCUUAGAAAAAUGCACACCAAAACGACCACAAGGUAUGAUCGGGCACUAGUCAUCAUAAAAGUCUACAAACAAAAUGCUGGCGAGGGUGUGGAGAAAAGCAAACCCUCCUCUGCUGCUGCUGGGAACGGAAAUGGCUACCAGCCACUAUGGAGUACACUAUGGAGGUUUUAUAAGACACUAAAAAUAGAGCGAUUAUAAGAUCUGGCAAUCCCACUCCUGGGUUUAUGCCACGAGAAAACCAUCCUUCGAAAAGACACCUGCAGACUUCCCUGGUGGCGCAGUGGUUAAGAAUCCACCUGACAAUGCAGGGCACACAGGUUCGAUCCCUGGUCUGGGAAGAUCCUACAUGCUGCAGAGCACCUAAGCCCAUGCGCCACAACUACUGAGCCUGAGCACCUAGAGCCCGUGCUCUGCAACAAGAGAAGGCACCGCAGUGAGAAGCCCACGCACUGCAAUGAAGCCCCAAUGCAGCCAAAAAUAAAUAAUAACAACAUAAAAAAAGAGAGAUAGAAAAUUAACCCUUUGAAAAGAAGAAAAAGACACCCACAACCAACAUUCAUUGCAGCACUAUUUAAAAUACCCGAAGCAUGGAAGCACCCAAAAUGUCCAUCGACAUAGGUAUGGCUACACAAGAUGUGCUACAUAUAUACAAUGGAAUAUUUCUCAACCCUAAGAAAGAAUGAAAUCAUGCCAUUUGCAGCAACAUGGAUGGACCUGGAGAUGAUCCCACUAAGUUCCACAGAGAAAGACAAAUAUCAUAUGAUAUCACUUAUAGGUGCAAACUAAAACUUGAUACCAAGGAACUAAUUAACCAAACAGAAACAGACUCCCAGACUUAGAAAACUAACUUAGCGUGACCAAAGGCAAAGUUGGGGUUGGGGGGGAGAUAAAUUAGGAGGUGUGGAUUAAAACAUACACCCUAAUAUAUGGGAUAAUCAACAAGGACCUACUAGACAGCAAAGGGAACUCUCCUCAACACUCUCUAAUAACCUGGAAUGGGAACAGAAUCCGAAAAGGAAUAGAAACAUGUAUAACUGAAUCAGUUUCUGUACACCUCAAACAAACACAGCAUUGUAAACCAACUGUACUUCAAUAGAAGAUACAAAUUACAUUAGAAGAGAAAAAUGAAAACAAGUGCCUACUCUAGUCCCCUCAGGCCUCAGCGGUCUGGGCUGGUGUCACAUCCCUGGAACCUGAGCAGGCCUGGGUCCCAAGGCUGGACUGUCGUGGGGCUGAGGGGACUGGGGAGGAUGUGCCAGCAAAUGAGCCCCCCCGGGGACCUGCAGUGUCUGGUCCACUCGAAAUGGGACCACAAUCUCCAGAUCCAGGCAGGCCCUCCUAUAGCUCAACCAAGCCUAGUGCACCCAAAGGAGGGUGGAUCCUCUGGGCUGCAAGAGCUUUGAAACGUCACCUGGUCUCCACAUCUCCUGGUGUUGGGGUUUCCACUUCCAGCCUCCUUCCUUAGAGUCGCUCCAACUACCUAGGACAUCACCCUCAGCACAGCACUUUUGCAGGGGUUGGGAUUUGACUGGGAGGGUGAAGGGUAAGGGGGAAGAAGUAAAGAGGCACAAGCCCUCGUGUGUUUCUUCUGGCACUUUGCACUCUGAUUUUCAACCUGGGAACAUGACUUUUGCUAGGCUCAGGUUGCCCGAGUUACCAGAGUCGGGCAUGAAGAAAUGCUGCCGCCUUGUGGCCGUUUUCCGUAACAACAACCUUAAAACCAGUACUUAGGGGAACUUAAUAUUCACAAGGCCUGUGGGGCUCUAAAUGACCCCUGCCUUCGAGAGAUAUUGCGCGGUAGGUAAUAGAAAAAGAAUUCAAAACAGGGCCGACUUUAAGAAGCCAGUUUCAAGAGGUAAAAUUAUAUUCACAUUAAAAAAAAAACCCACAUGAAAUGAUCUCAGCAUCACUAGUUGUUAGAGAAAUGCAAAUCAAAACGACAACGAGGUAUCAUAGGGCACCAAUCAUCACAAAGUCUACAAACAAUAAAUGCUGGAGAGGGCGUGGAGAAAAGACAUGCCUCCUCCACUGCUGCUGGGAAUGGAAAUUGCUACCAGCCACUAUGGAGGUUUUAUAAAACACUAAAAAUAGAGAAAUCAUGAGAUCCGGCAAUCCCACUCCUGGGUGUAUGCCCGAAGAAAACCAUCCUUCGAAAAGACAUCUGCACCCCAACAUUCAUUGCAGCACUAUUUACAAUACCCAAAGCAUGGAAGCACCCAAAAUGUCCAUCGACAUAGGUAUGGCUACACAAGAUGUGCUACAUAUAUACAAUGGAAUAUUUCUCAACCCUAAGAAAGAAGGAAAUCAUGCCAUUUGCAGCAACAUGGAUGGACCUGGAGAUGAUCCCACUAAGUCAAGUAGGUCACACAGAGAAAGACGAAUAUCAUAUGAUAUCACUGAUAGGUGCAAUCUAAAACAUGAUACCAAUGAACUAAUUAACCAAAACAGAAACAGACUCCCAGACUUAGAAAACUAACUUAUCGUGACCAAAGGGGGAAAGUUCGGGUGGGGGGAGCGAUAAGUUAGGAGGUUGGGAUUAAUACACACAGACACACACAGAGAUAUAUGAUAAUCAAGAAGGACCUACUGGAUAGCACAGGGAACUCUACUUGAUAAUCUGUCCUAAUCUAUAAGAGAAAAGAAUCUGAAAAAUAAUGGAUAUACAAAUAUGUAUAAUGAAUCAUUUGUUGUAUACCUGAAACUAGCACAACAUUGUAUAUCAACUAUACUCCAAUAACAUUUUAAAAUUUUAAAAAUAAGUAAGCUUGGGGCUUCCCUGGUGGCGCAGUGGUUGAGAGUCCGCCUGCCGAUGCAGGGGACACGGGUUCAUGCCCCGGUCCGGGAAGAUCCCACAUGCCGUGGAGCAGCUGGGCCCGUGAGCCAUGGCCGUUGAGCCUGUGUGUCCGGAGCCUGUGCUCCACAACGGGAGAGGCCACAACAGUGAGAGGCUCGCGUACCGCAAAAAAAAAAAAAAAAAAAGUAAGCUUAAACGCUUUUGUACAGCAAAACGUCCAUAAACGAAACAAGACACCAUAUGGUUUCGGAGAAAAUAUUUGCAUAUGAUGGAAAUUUGAGGGAUUAAUUCCCAAAAUAUACAAAGAACUCAUACAGCUCAACGUCAAAAAAACAAACAACCCAAUUAAAAAAUAUGCAGAAGACUUAAGUAACAUUUCUCCAAGGAAGAUAUCCUAAUUACCAGCAGGCACAUGAAAAGACGGCCAACAUCACUGAUUAUUAGAGAAAUGCAAAUCAAAUCCACAAUUGAUGUAUCACCUCAUACUCGUCAGAAUGACCAUCGCCAAAAAUUCUACGAAUAGGGACUUGCCUUGUAGUCCAGUGGUAAAGAAUCUGCCUUACAAUGCAGGGGACGCGGGUUCGACCCCUGGUCAGGGAAAUAGGAUCCCACAUGCCUCAGGGCAACUAAGCCCUCGCACCGCAACUACUAAGCUUGCGCACCUCAACUGGAGCGGGCGUGCAGCAAACUACAGAACCCACGUGCUCUGGAACCCACGCACCACAAUUACAGAGCCCACACACCCUGGAGCCUGCACGCCACAACUAGAGAAAGCCUGCACGCCACAACUAGAGCAAAGCUCACGUGCCACAUGAUCCUGCAUGCCUCAGUGAAGAUCCCGCAUGCCACAACUAAGACCUGACACAGCCAAAAAUUAAAUAAAUAAAUAAAUAAUAAAUCUUAAAAAAAAGUCUACAAAUAAUAAAUGCGAGAGGGGGUGUGAGGAAAACAGAACCCUCCUGUACUCUUGGUGGAAAUGUAAAUUGGUGCAGCCACUAUGGGGAAUGGUAUGGAGGUUCCUUAAAAAAGUAAAAUAGAGUUACCAUAUUUUCCAGCAAUCCCACUCCUAGGCAUACAUCCAAAAAAGAUGAAAACUGUAAUUCAAAAAGAUACACCCACCCUAGUGUUCAUAGCAGCACUAUUUACAAUAACCAAGAAAUGUCCAUGGACAGAUGAAUGGAUAAAGAACAUGUGGUAUAUGUAUACAAUGGAAUAUUACUCAGCCAUGAAAACGAAUAAAAUAAUGCCAUUUACAGCAACAUGGAUGGACCCAGAGAUUAUCAUGCCGAGAGAAGUGAGUCAGACAAAGACAAAUAUCAUAUAUCGCUUAUAUGUGGAAUCUAAAAAAGUGAUACAAAUGAACUUAUUUACAAAACUGAAAUAGACUCUAGACAUAGAAAACAAACUUACGGUUACCAAAGCGGAAAGGAGGGAGGGAUAAAUUAGGAAUUGGGGAUUAACAGAUGCAUACUACUACAUAUAAAAUAAACUGAAAGGACUUACUGUAUAGUGCAGGCAACUAUAUUUAGUAUCUUGCAAUAACCUAUAAUGGAAAGAAUCUGGAAAAAAAAUAUAUCAAUUACUUUGCUGUACACCUGAAACACUGUAAGUCAACUAUACUUCACUAAAAAAAAAAAAAAAAAGAUACGGAGCUCCUGGUCCUCUAACUGGAUGAUUACUCCGAUAUUUAAGUUGGUGAAAGUUCACUUAAUGAAGCAAGUCACUCCCUAAUCUCUUUAAGGUGUCCCCAGUGAUGAGAAAUGAAGGUCCUUUGCAUACUAACAUGUUUUAUGGGUAAUGUAGUAGGUGAGGGCACUCUGCAGUCUUGAUCAGAAUAAGAUUGAUCAACCUGAAUGACAAAUGUCCUACACUGAAAUUGUGGCCAAGACCCAAUUAGAAUCCUUAAGUUCUGUCAGGUUUAGAAUCUCCACUGGCAGCUGUGGUGUUUGAAGACUUGUAAGUUCCUGUCUUACUACGCAGGUUUGUGUUCUUUGUAUCUUUUACUAGAACAACAUUCUGUGAGGGCUGAGACAUGAUAGUGAAUGACUCAACAUGUUCAAUAGUCACAGCUGCCAGGCGUGCAGGUACAUGGUUUUCCUCUCCCCAGAGCCCUCACCUACCCUGUUAUAGGCCUCCUAGGACCUGUAGGGGCCUGAGCCCUGAACAGAGGCACGAGUCUUUCACGGCCCCUGUGGUGUCAACCAGGCUCCCUCCCUCGCUGGGCCUGCUCGACGUCCACUCCAAACUGAACUCCCCAUUAGCCCUGCUCCCUGAGACUGUCACAACGGGGGAUCAACUCCAUGGUUUGGCCAGAAGGAGUCAGACCCAUUCUGAGCCACUACAAAGACCUGGCAGGAGCACGCAUUUGAAGUACUAAAGCUCACACACCGGAAUGACAGUGCCUCACUGCUGGCUGACCUGCCUCUGACUGUGGUCUGGACAUCAGGCAGAAAUGAGGAGGGAAGGACAUUAGAGCAGAGAAUAGCAGUGGUGACUACAGUGGGCAUGGACACACCAAUGUGGCUCCUGCCAUCUUAGGGACGAGGACCUUGAGAAGGCAUUAUUUAGGGCCAAUAAGAGGGAGGGAAGAGGACUCUUCCUGGACUCAUAUCAGCCUGUGUCUCUUCAAACCCCCAAUGAAGACCCCUAAGUUGGGAGGUGGGGCCUCUGUGUCAGAGGGGAAGGAAGGCUAGGGGGUCUCUGGGCUAUAAGCAGAGAGCCAUGGGGGAGAACCUUGUGAGGACCUGAAGGCUGGAGGGCCAUGGACUCACCUCUGUUCAGUAGGCUCACCUCCUGUGGAGGCCAAGGGUGGUCUCAGUCAAGGGGGCAUCAACCCCCAGCCGUGUAGACCCAGCCAGCAAUACAAGAUCCAGCUGAGACAGUCUCGAAGCUCACCUCCAGCUACAAAUCAGGAAACCCAAACAAGGUGGCCUUGACGCAGGCAGACAUUUGGGUUAUCUGCACCCAAAAUACCUUGACUUAGAAGACAACCCAGUAACCAGAAGCCCCUCAGAACAGCCCAGGCUACAGGGGUUCAGGGCGUCUAGAAACUACUGAGGAAAAGGGCCCCAAGAUCCACUCCACCUGGAGCAGUGAUGCCAUCCUUUCCCAGUUCCUUUCAAAACAAGUGCAACAGGAAUGGAGAAAUCUUAACACUCAAAUUGCCGAUAAGGCAGACCUUGAAGAAACCACAGACCCCUGCACCUUGGGUUUCAGGCCCGCCAGCCCCGUCCUGGAUGGGGUUCUCACUUCCUUCACAGCAGCUUUGACGCCAGCAAGCCCUGUGCAGGAGUCAAGGAGAACCCAGCCAGCCCUGUGAUCUGGAGCAUUCUGUGGGCGCCAUGAGACCUCCCAGAGGCUGCAGAUCCCAUCUCCCCAUGGUGCCUGCCAGGCACAGCUGCCACCCUCCAGCUAAGGGAGGGCUGGGCCAAGCCCACAUCUCAGACACCAGACAGUGUGUUAUCCUUUAAUGAAGAGCCAGGUCAGUAGGGCCACCAUUCUCCCCGAGGCCCCCCUGCAGCAGACACCCCUCACUCCUGGCUGCCUCGGUGGCAGGGUGGCCCUGAAGCAGCCAGCCCUGCUGAGAGGUCAGUUUGCAGCAGCCUAGGAAAGGCAUUCAUCUCUCGGACCUAGGAAAAUGGCAGCAGCAACAUGGCCAGUGGCGGCUAAUGAGGUCAGGGAUGGUGGAGGAGGAGGGCGGGACAGGAAGUGGGGGCUCUCCUCCUUCCUCUCUGAAUUCCCUGGGAUAAAGGCCAGUGUUCAGGAGCAGUACAGUCUCCCGAGGGGCUGGAGGCCCUUCCAGCCACUCUCUGGAAGCCCUUAGUCCCCAGUUUCCCUCAGACUAACAUCACACAGAAAGUAGCCCGCAGGGUCACUGGCCUCAGGGUCACCACUCCAUCAGCCUCAAGGCCCCACGCCUGCGAGAUGUCCAGCAGGGCCCAGGCCAGAGCCACCAGGAGACUUGGAGCCACCUUCCACUAACUCCGCUGGGCAGGCACUACAGGCAUCUAAGAAGGUGGUUUCUCUCCCUCGUGGUUCCGGGGCUGCCCAGGCGGGGCUGAGGCACAGCAGGCCAGGGGUUCUCCAAGUCCCUACAGAUCUGUGACCUUGUUUUCUACAGCCGCUGCGAUCUGCUGGAGCCGAUAGCCCAGCUGCAUCUUCUGGGCCGUGCCAUCUUCCUCCAGGGCAGUGAUGAUCUGAAACACAGAGACCAACUCAGCAGGGGGAGACCGUCAGCCUGCCGUCUGCCUUUGCCACAGGCUUCAAUAGGCCUCCACAGCUACUGCAGCAGGUGUAGUAAAAUCGUUUGAGGCCAACUUCACCCACCAUGCUGGUCUUCUCCGCCACAAACCCCCUGGAAGCCCUGCUCCACCCAUCCUGGCUCCCCCGCCCACCAGGCAACAAGCAGUUCCUAAAUUCCUACAUGCCCGGUGCUGGACAAGGAGCAGGGACCCAGCAGUGAUGACAGGUACGAUCCCUGCCCUCGUGGGGCUCACUGGAUGGGAGACAGGUAUUGACCAAACACGGACAACUACAUAACCACAAGGGGGGCUGCCAAAGAGGGAAGGGUGGGAACAGGAGGGGCUUGCCGGUCACGCCUCCACAAGGGGACAGCUGUGUCACACGGCCCCGCCUCCCCCACACCGGCACCCACACUGUUUGGAGCAAGGCACCUGGACUUCACGCUUGCGCAUCACUCCUGUGUCAAAUGCCUGUCCCCACUCCAGGCCUGAGCCAUGAGGCAGGGCCCUCAUCGCUCAACAGCAACGGCCACAUCCCUGGGGCCACGCAAACAUCUGGGUAGAUGAUUCCAGCAGGCACUCAGUGGGUUGACCGGUGGGCGCUCUGAUCCUGAGGCCCAGCCCAGGAAUCCCCCAGAAAGCCCCCUUACCGGCUCUGUUGUGCCCUCAUCUGCCCCAGACCCUGUGCCCAGACCCUCCUCUCUGGCAGCGCAUGCAGCCCAGCCAGGCCCACCCCCCAGAGAUGGCCUGCACAGCACACUGCCACAUGUGGUCUCAGGUAGGGCUCUGAGGGAGCACAAGGUCGGGGCACAGGUGGCCGCUGUGUGUUCCUCCCAGCACAUCCUGCACACCAUCUCCAGGCCCUGGUAGAUCCCCAGCCAUCCAUCACCACCACCAUGCCCAGGAGCCCGGCUGAGGAGCCCGGAUGGGAAGGGCGGCAGCAGGUAAGAGCCGGGCCACUACCAGGAAGCACACCUGAAGAACACUUCCCGAGCACAGGGCUCAGCCCCCCUCCACCACUCUGUGCCUGGGGGAGACCCGAAGGCCCCACACUUGCGUCACAGAGCCAGUCACCCUCUCGCAUCAUCCUGACCAUGCCCAGGUUCUGCCCACCUGGUCAUAGUAUUUGUUGAUAUACUUGUAGAGUUCGUGCAGGGCCACUCGCACCCCCAGGUCUCCAGAGUAGUUCUAGGGAGGAGAGACAAGAGGUUACAGAGAUAGGGGGUGCUGCCAGCCACCAGAGGAGGCCCAGGACCCCAGGCAAGGGGAGUGAGGAAGAGGGGGCUGGGAGGUAGAGGAAGGAACAGGGCCCUGCAUUGGGAAGCAGAGCCCCUCCACAGACAGGGGAUGCCAGGCUAGACGUGCUAAGCUGGGGACAGGAUAGGACCAAAGGGCCUCCUUGGUGGAGAGAGCCUGGAUCUGUAGUUUCACCAUGGCCUGGGGUCUCCACUGGGGCUCGGCCUCUCUCCCCCUCCAGGCUCCAGCUGGGACCCUCUGGCAUCCCAGGCAAUUGCAGAGCCAGGCAGAAUAGGUGCUGCUCACAGGCUGUGACCCAGCAUAGUUCUGCUGUGAUCUCAUUCAAGUCUUUCCUGAGGUCACACCCAGGUCCCUCCAUGGGGACAUCUCUGAACCUCAACCUCCUCUUCAGGACAAUGGAGUUGAUAUCACCUAACUUGUAGAGCUUUAAUGGGAAUCAAAUGAGAAGUAAUCAAAGCCCCCACACACAGCAACACCCCAAAACUGUAGCUGCUAUUGUUAUUGUGGUUGUGGUCAUCAUCAUCGUGGUUUCAGAUUUACAUUGUUUAUAAAUUCCCCGGACUGGACUGUUUGGAGGCUGUUUUAGGAGUAGGUGGGGGCAUGUCCAUAGUGCCAAGGAAAGCAGAGCAGUAGGAAGACGUGGACAGGCUGACCCAGGCAGUCCUGGGGCUGAAUCCCUGCCACCUCGCUGCCUUGAAACUAUGGUCCACAGACCCCGAGGGGCUGCAGAGGGGCUGCAGACAUCUAAACACCUGGCUGAGUCAGGCUCGGUGGCAGCUGCCAGGACAAGGCCCCUGCUGCUCUCUGAUGAGACACUGGGAGCCCUGGUCUUUUACAGAGGCAGCGGGAACACUGUGCUGAGGCCCCCAGGGCUUCCCUGCAAAGGAGCAGUGUGAAGGGGGCAGGACCCUUGCAGCAGAAGGCCUAUGCCCAACCCAAGAAGCAGAAGGAGGGCCAUACCCGGGACAGCUCGGCCAGGAUGGAGUUCAUCUCUUGAUCACUGGCGGGGAUGGUCUGUCUGAUGUCUGCAUAGUACCUGCCAGAGAUCAUGGGUCCGGCAGCCGCUGGGGAAACAAACCCCUCUUCACCCCACCAGGCCCACCCCUGGGCCUCAGCUGUAAACACCCACCAAUCCGUCCAGCCAUUAUCCCCCAGAUGCAAUCCCUUUCCCUCGUACCUUUCCACCAUCCGUUUGUACCGGGGAAUAUCCCGAGCAUACAGAAGUUUGUUGAUGGGAGAGUCCUGGGUGCCAGUAGGUGAACAGUGAAAGGAAAAGAAGGAUGAGAGCUCCUGUUAGGGUGACCAGCUGUCCCAAUUUUCCCAGCACUGUUUCAGUUUUAAAACUAAGUCCUGAAUUGCAGGAAACCUCCUCAGUCCCAGACAACCCGGAUGGUUGGUCACCCCACCUCAUUCCUUCUGUCACCCCUCCCCCAGUGUCCCAUCUCUGCUGUCAUCACCUUGAGCUUCCCCCCAUCUCACUCCAAGGUCAUCUAUCAGCUCCACGUGCCUCCACCCGGACCUGGCAGGGAACUGGCAUGCAGGGUGGGAAGGGUGCAGUGCCGUGUGGAGCCCUAAUACUGCUUCUCCAAGUGCUAUUCAUUCCCCAUGUAAUCAUUUUAAAAAUCAGGAAACUAACCCCGAAAUUUAAUUAAAUUGCCCCAGACCACCUCACUCCUGUGUGGCUGAGCUGGGAUUUGAAGCAGGUCUCUCAGACCAGGGCCCACAAUCUAACACAGCCAAUACAUCCUCUACCACCGAACCGGGCUCCAAUCCCAGCUCUGUCCCAGUGGCUGUGGGCAGCACACUUCCAUUCUCUGGACCUGCUGCCUCAUCCUACAGCUGCUGGGAGGGUGAGGCAAGACUGCACUGCCCCCUGUGAGCAAGGGGGUGAGCGCUGGGCCUGAGGCAGGAUGCCUGCUUCUCAGCAACUCUCCAUGGGUGGCCCUUAGCAUCCUGGUUUGCACUAUUCCUGAGCUACCCAGGAAGCAUCUGCAGUGCUGCUGGGAAGGGGAAGCAGUGUGAAGAUCAGGCAGAAGAACCCAGCUACCAUACAGCACACACCCUGGAGGUGACCCCUGGGUCCUGGUGUGGCUCUGUGGUUCUCAGCUCAUCGCAGGCAGAGUAAUGAGCGCAGGCAGAGGAAAAAUGGCUUACAAAAGACAGCACUACAGAGUGGAACUUUCCAUCUUGUUUCCCCAUGGAGAACUCUCAAGAGGUCCCAGGCCCAGGGGUCGAGGCUAAGCAGAGUCCGUUAUGCAGAGCCACGACAGCCCUGCCUGCUGGGUGCCUGAGCAGUCAUAGUGGUGACCCCAUAUCUGUCACAGGACUCUCUGGGUCCUGACCACUGUGACAACAUACCUCCCCCUCUCUGUGCCACCAGGCAGCCCUGACCACCUCUCCUCCAUGCUUCCCAGCUCCCCUGUCAGCACACCCCUCCUCGCCUGGCCCUCCCCUGGACUCUGCUCCCUGUACUGCACAGGCUGGCAGACACUUCCACUGCCCUUGGGAAUCAAAUCUCCGAGGCAGCCUGGAGCUGCUCUGCGAUUGUAGAAUCCAGGGGCUCACCUCCUCCAAGUCUCAGCUCACCACCACCAGAGGCCCGGGGUGCGUAAGGAACCCCUCCCUCUUCCUCACCCCCACAUCCAACCCACAGCUUCUGCCUGCCCUGUACCCUCUAGUCCCAGCAUGAACCUGGCCACCGCUCGUCCCAGGGACAACACAGCUUCCUCUCUGGACGCCAGGCUCCAGUCCAUCCACUGCAUGAUUGCCAGGAGGCUCCACCUAACUCUCAGGUCUGACCACCCCCUUUGCCCUCAGGGUGAGCCCUUGCCAAGUGGCCCUGGCCUCCUGCCGCACCGCCAGCACUCUUUGCUCCACUUAACCCUGUGAAUCAGCACACGUGCCCCCUGCCCUUGCUCAUCCCUGAAGGCUGAGGCACGGCCACCUCCUAGGGAGGCCAGGAACAAAGCCUGUCCCCGGACCUGCGGUCAAAGACCUCCUAUAUCCUCCUCCUUGACAUCCUCAAGAAGGCCUGGAGUCUGUGCACCACAGCACUCUCCAUCCCCGGCUACGCUGCCCCACCCACCUAGACCCUCCCGGUCCACCCCAGCCAGCUCACCCGGCCCAGCUUGUGGUCAGCCAGGGUGCAGGCAUCCAUGAAGGUCUGUGCAAUGACCAGGAACACUGCAUCCAUGUUAUCAGAUGUCUGCACGUCGAACACAAACUGCGGGUUUUUUAUGAUAUUGAUCCAGAACCUCAGCGGCAAGCUGUGGGCGGGGCAGGUGUGGCCAGUGAGUGUGCUGGGGAGACAGGAGAGAAGACCCCGCACAUGCUAGGCCCACUCCGCCCCACCCCCACCUGUUGGUCUUCCAUAUAUGGACGGUGUCCUGGUCCGAGAUGCCAUGCUGCUGGGCCUGCUCAUCCAGCAGGUCAAAGAAGUACUUCACAGCGAGCGGCACGGGACGGCUGGUGCUGAGAAUCACCUGGAACAGGUCAUCCACAAACUUCUGCAGGGUGCCCUGCGGAUGAGGGGAAGUACAAGAGAUGCAGUCAGCAAGGGGACCUCAGCCCAGCCCAGCCCAGCCCAGCCUCGCCUCAGAUGCCUCGUGACACCAGGCCUUUGCGAGCCCCACAUACUCCCAAAUCCCACUACCUGUCUCGUCCCUGCCCCCAGCCCCACCUUCAUGGACAGCAGGCGGGUCAGGUAGAUCUCAGGGAUGGCCUUGGCUCGCUCCCGCUCCCCGCCCCGGAGGCUGCCCCUCCGAGGCCUGGGCGGCUCCGGCUCCUCGCUUGGCUUCACCAGGUGCCAGGGCCGGAUGCCCCCCUCGUCCACAUCCUCCAGCAUUGGGGUCCCUGUACCAAGACCUUACAGCUUGUCACCCCUCAUCAGGUGCCCCCUGCCCUAGACCCCCGGGGUCCUGCCAAAACCUGGGAGUGGGGGCACCUGGUUAAGGGCUUCUCUGGGUGGAAGGGAAGUAGACACAAGCCCACCCUGAAGUCCAGAGGACCUUACCCCGUUACUGGAGACUGGGCAAAGCAAGGGUAGAGGACUGCGAUGGCAGGGGUGGGGCGGGGGGGAGGGUAAGUACUCACUCUCUCCAGGGACGUAAUCCUGGCUUUCCCGGAGGACAUGCUUGGUGAGGCAGGGGACGAGGGCCACAGUUGCUCCGUCUGGGACCUGUGGACCACAGUUGGUGACCCCUCCACCAGCCCACCCCACCACAGCCUUCCCCCAGCUCCCACCCC